CUUCACCAUCUUCUCCUUCCUCUAUAUAUUACACCAUUCUUCAACCCUAUAUAUCAAAAUAUAACAAAAAAAGGGAACUUUCACUUGAAAAAAAAACCAUCUUUAUGGCAUCAAAAGGUCAGUCCAAUUUCCAAGAUUUCUUGCCCCUGAUGGCAAAAAACUGGGUGGGGAUGGUCUAAUAGGAGAACUCUCUAAUGGGUUUCAGGUCUUGAUGGAUUCUGAUAAAGGGGUCCUCACUUCUGAGAGUCUUAAGAUGAACUCUGUUUUGCUAGGGCUAAAGGACUUGUCUGAUGAGGAUCUUCAAAAUAUGUUAAAAGAAGGUGACUUUGAUGGAGAUGGAGCACUCAAUCAGAUGGAAUUUUGUGUUCUGAUGUUUAGAUUGAGCCAUGAGAUGAUGGAGCAGUCUUGUUGCUGGGAGAGGCUUUUCAAUAAGGAUAUCAAGAAUUUCAUUUUCCAUUGUAAAGAUUUACUGCUUUCUCUAAUUUGUAAUGAUUUUCAUUUUCCUUUGACAUUGGAUUCAAA
rnacentral:lncRNA from 1 species